UACGUAGGGGGCUAGCGUUGUCCGGAUUUAUUGGGCGUAAAGAGCGUGUAGGCGGCCAGGUAGGUCUGGUGUGAAAACUCGAGGCUUAACCUCGAGAUGUCAUCGGAAACCAUCUGGCUAGAGUCCGGAAGAGGAGAGUGGAAUUCCUGGUGUAGCGGUGAAAUGCGCAGAUAUCAGGAAGAACACCAAUGACGAAAGCAGCUCUCUGGGACGGUACUGACGCUGAGACGCGAAAGCGUGGGGAGCGAACAGG
rnacentral:rRNA from 1 species